UUUGGAGACAACUCUCAAGCUAAAAAAUAUUGAUGAUGUUAGCAAUAAAGAUUAUUGUAUGGUCUUCAAAAUGAGCAAAAACCAAUAUGGCACAGCAACAUAUUUAUGGGCCUCAAAUGACCAGUGUGAAAUUUUAAAACAAUUUAUGAGAGAAAACCAACACCCUUUUUUAUAACUCAGAAAACACUAAACACAACUACAUGAAUUUUACAUGUAUAACAAUUAUACAUGCAACUAUGGCAGCA
rnacentral:lncRNA from 1 species